GGAGGAAAGCAGGGGAUCGCAAGACCUUGCGCUUUUGGAGCGGCCGAUGUCUGAUUAGCUAGUUGGUGAGGUAAAGGCUUACCAAGGCGUCGAUCAGUAGCUGGUCUGAGAGGACGACCAGCCACACUGGGACUGAGACACGGCCCAGACUCCUACGGGAGGCAGCAGUGGGGAAUUUUGGACAAUGGGGGAAACCCUGAUCCAGCCAUGCCGCGUGAGUGAAGAAGGCCUUCGGGUUGUAAAGCUCUUUCAGCCGGAACGAAACGGUCACGGCUAAUACCUGUGACUACUGACGGUACCGGAAGAAGAAGCACCGGCUAACUACGUGCCAGCAGCCGCGGUAAUACGUAGGGUGCAAGCGUUAAUCGGAAUUACUGGGCGUAAAGCGUGCGCAGGCGGUUUUGUAAGUCAGAUGUGAAAUCCCCGGGCUUAACCUGGGAACUGCGUUUGAAACUACAAAGCUAG
rnacentral:rRNA from 1 species